rnacentral:tRNA from 1 species
GCGCCCGUAGCUCAGCUGGAUAGAGUACCAGAUUCCGAAUCUGGGGGUCGCAGGUUCGAAUCCUGCCGGGCGCGCCA